rnacentral:lncRNA from 1 species
GCUCUCCAGAUGUGCCUCACCAGGGCUGAGCAGAGGGGCAGGAUUCCCUCCUUUACUUCUUGGCAAUGUUCUUCUGUCUUGAACUGAACGGUGAGAUUUCCCUCCUUCUCUGCAGGAUGUGCUGUAAGGAUUUCCAGGAGCAGUUUUCAUGGCUGUACAUAUGUAACAACACCCCAACAUUCCUGGACUUUGGAGAUGAGCACGGCACAGCAGCGUGGUCUCUGACCAGCUACAGCAACCUGUGGAGCCCGGGCCUUCCCUCCAGGAGGAGCCGCUAUUCCCGGGCAGGUGCACCUUCUACAAACCCUCAGUAUUUUUUCAAAGUGCUAGAUCACAACCCAAAAACCCGUAAUGUAGCCAUUUCACUCAUGCAAAAACCCGCUGAGCACAUGCAGGAUGAAAGAAACCUGGGGAUUGGCUUUUUCAUCACCACGGAGAACUCCAGAGUUCUGGAGCAAACCUUUCUCCAGGCUCGAGAUGUGACCAGCUGCCUGACCCUGAGCCCAGGAACCUACGCCGUGGUUCCUGCUGCAGCAGAGGAUCAGGAAUUCCAAUUUCUCCUAAGGAUUUUCAUAAAGAAUCAGGACUACCAUGAGUAAGAUGAUGCACACUCCUUAAAGGCCCCAGAGCCAGAGAGUGCCAGGAAUUAACUCUUUGCUGUCAAGAUAACUGAUGUGGCAAUUUGCU